CACGUAGGGUGCGAGCGUUGUCCGGAAUUAUUGGGCGUAAAGAGCUCGUAGGCGGUGUGUCGCGUCGGCCGUGAAAACCUGCAGCUUAACUGUGGGCUUGCGGUCGAUACGGGCAUCACUGGAGUUCGGCAGGGGAGACUGGAAUUCCUGGUGUAGCGGUGAAAUGCGCAGAUAUCAGGAGGGAACACCGGUGGCGAAGGCGGGUCUCUGGGGCC
rnacentral:rRNA from 1 species